rnacentral:misc_RNA from 1 species
GAUGAAGAACGCAGCGAAAUGCGAUAAGUAAUGUGAAUUGCAGAAUUCAGUGAAUCAUCGAAUCUUUGAACGCACAUUGCGCCCGCCAGUAUUCUGGCGGGCAUGCCUGUUCGAGCGUCAUUUCAACCCUCGAACCCCUCCGGGGGGUCGGCGUUGGGGACCUCGGGAGCCCCUAAGACGGGAUCCCGGCCCCGAAAUACAGUGGCGGUCUCGCCGCAGCCUCUCCUGCGCAGUAGUUUGCACAACUCGCACCGGGAGCGCGGCGCGUCCACGUCCGUAAAACACCCAACUUCUGAAAUGUUGACCUCGGAUCAGGUAGGAAUACCCGCUGAACUUAAGCAUAUCAAUAAGCGGAGGA